rnacentral:tRNA from 1 species
AGGUGAAUAGCUCAGUGGUAGAGUGCAUGCUUAGCAUGCACAAGGUCCUGGGUUCAAUCCCCAGUCCCUCCC